UCUGCGAUUGUUCAGAAACGUAAAAUAAGACAAAGAGCAAACCUGCGAUUGUUUCUCAAGACUGAGCUCUGUUGUGUCCAUCCUGAUCCUGAUGUGCUCUUGCCCUUUUCCGGGCUUGGUAAAUUAUCUUGGCUCUUCAGGCGAGGUACUUUGAAGACACAUUUCUCAUUUAAUGUCCUCAACCAUUGCUUCCUUUUUUUUAUGAUUAAGCAUUGCAGAUCUAGAAGUCAGCCACCCAAGGGAAGCGGAAGCCUGGACUUGCUCUUCUCCAGCUGUGUCCUCUCACCUGCCAUUAAUAGUCUAUUUUGGUGCAUCUGGGAUGUGUGUUGUGGAAACAAAUUCACAAGCUGGAAUCCAGGUAUAUAUUCCUAAUUUUAUUUUUUAUUGCUUACUUUCAAUACUUCCUUCAAAAUAAGGAUAAAAUUAAAUUGAUUUAGCUUAUUCAUCUUUUGUUAUUCCAAAGGCACACCCAACCCUGGGUCAGUGAGAAAUGUUCAAACAUUUGUAAACAAGCAACUUUCCUGAUGUGAAGGCCAACUCUGCAGAACCCUAAAUGGGGCAAGGGAAAGAAAACAGUCCAAGCUCUGGCUAGGACUCCUUUACAGGGUCCAAAAUCAGGAUUCUUUGUUAACUGUAUCUUCAUCUCUCUUUUUUCUCCAUCAAUUUUUUUUUUUUUAAGAUUGGCACUUGAGCUAACAUCUGUUGCCAAUCUUCUUUCUUUUUGUUUUCUUCUUCUCCCCAAACCUCCCAGUACAUAGUUGUAUAUUCUAGUUGUAUGUCCUUCUGGCUCUGCUAUGUAGGACACUGCCUCAGCGUGGCAUGAUGAGCGGUGCCAUGUCCACACCCAGGAUCUGAACCAGUGAAACCCUGGGCCACCAAAGAGGAGCCCCCAAACUUAAGCACUCAGCCACGGGCCUGGCUCCUCCAGCCAUGUUUUUUUAAAAUUUUCUUUGAGGAAGAUUAGCCCUCAGGCUAACAUCUGCUGCCAAUCCUCCUCUUUUUGCUGAGGAAGACUGGCCCUGAGCUAACAUCUGUGCCCAUCUCCUACUUUAUAUGCAGGAUACCUGCCACAGCAUGGCCUGACAAGCGGUGCCUAGGUCCACACUGAGGAUCCGAACUGGGGGACCCUGGGCUGCCCGAAGUGGAACGUGGGAACUUAACCGUUGGGCCACCAGGUUGGCCCCCCGCCAGCAAUGUUUUAUUGCUUAAGGCAAAAAGAGUGGAGGAAGAUAUUGCAACUGACUCAUUGAAAGAUAAAUCUUAGCAUAAUGGUUUAAACACUGUGGCUUUGUAUUAGGUUGAUCACCAAGCAGGGUCAUCAGGCAACUUGGCUCAAUAUCAGAUGGCACAAACUGCAAAGGGCAACCUGGUG
rnacentral:lncRNA from 1 species